GGGGGCAUAGCUCAGCUGGGAGAGCAGCAGACUGAAGUACCGUCCACAAAACAUUGACACUCAUUCGUCAUUCUGAAGGUCCCGCGUUCAAUCCGCGGUGCCCCCA